rnacentral:rRNA from 1 species
CGCGUAGGCGGUUUGUUAAGUCAGAUGUGAAAGCCCCGGGCUCAACCUGGGAACUGCAUUUGAUACUGGCAGACUAGAGUAUGGUAGAGGGAAGCGGAAUUCCGGGUGUAGCGGUGAAAUGCGUAGAUAUCCGGAAGAACACCAGUGGCGAAGGCGGCUUCCUGGACCAAUACUGACGCUGAGGUGCGAAAGCGUGGGGAGCAAACA